UACGGAGGGUGCAAGCGUUGUCCGGAUUCAUUGGGCGUAAAGGGCGCGUAGGCGGCGGGGUAAGUCGGGUGUGAAAUCUCAGAGCUCAACUCUGAAACUGCACUCGAUACUGCUCUGCUUGAGGACUGGAGAGGAGACUGGAAUUCACGGUGUAGCAGUGAAAUGCGUAGAUAUCGUGAGGAAGACCAGUGGCGAAGGCGGGUCUCUGGACAGUUCCUGACGCUGAGGCGCGAAGGCCAGGGGAGCAAACGGG
rnacentral:rRNA from 1 species